rnacentral:rRNA from 1 species
AUUGAACGCUGGCGGCAUGCCUAACACAUGCAAGUCGAACGAGUGGCGGACGGGUGAGUAAUGUCUGGGAAACUGCCUGAUGGAGGGGGAUAACUACUGGAAACGGUAGCUAAUACCGCAUACCAUCCGCUGUGCCCAGAUGGGAUUAGCUAGUUGGCGGGGUAACGGCUCACAAGGGGGACGAUCCCUAGCUGGUCUGAGGGGAUGACCAGCCACUCUGGAACGGGGACAGGGUCCAGAUUCCUACGGGAGGCAGCAUGGGGGAAUAUUGAACAAUGGGGGAAAGCCGAAGGCAGCCAGCCCGCGUGGAGGAGGAAGGCCUUCGGGUGGAAAAGUACGUUCAGCGGGGAGGCGUUACCCGCAGAAGAAGCACCGGCUAACUCCGUGCCAGCAGCCGCGGUAAUAC